AUUGCACGCUGGCGGCAGGCCUAACCCAUGCAAGUCGAACGAGUGGCGGACGGGUGAGUAAUGUCUGGGAAACUGCCUGAUGGUGGGGGAUAACUACUGGAAACCGUAGCUAAUACCGCAUACCAUCAGCUGUGCCCAGAUGGGAUUAGCUAGUUGGUGGGGUAACGGCUCACCAAGGCGACGAGCCCUAACUGGUCUGAGAGGAUGACCAGCCACACGGGAACUGAAACACGGGCCAGGCGCCUACGGGAGGCAGCAGUGGGGAAUAGUGCACAAUGGGCGCAAGCCUGAUGCAGCCAUGCCGCGGGUAUGAAGAAGGCCUUCGGGUUGUAAAGUACUUUCAGCGGGGAGGGGUUACCCGCAGAAGAAGCACCGGAUAACUCCGUGCCAGCAGCCGCGGUAAUUC
rnacentral:rRNA from 1 species